rnacentral:rRNA from 1 species
GACGAACGCUGGCGGCGUGCUUAACACAUGCAAGUCGAACGGAAAGGCCCCCUUUUGGGGUACUCGAGUGGCGAACGGGUGAGUAACACGUGAGUAACCUACCCUUGACUUUGGGAUAACUUCAGGAAACUGGGGCUAAUACCGGAUAGGAGCUCCUGCUGCAUGGUGGGGGUUGGAAAGUUUCGGCGGUUGGGGAUGGACUCGCGGCUUAUCAGCUUGUUGGUGAGGUAGUGGCUCACCAAGGCUUUGACGGGUAGCCGGCCUGAGAGGGUGACCGGCCACAUUGGGAAUAAAAAACGGACCAGAGUCCUACGGGGGGCAGCAGUGGGGAAUAUUGCGCAAUGGGCGGAAGCCUGAUGCAGCAACGCCGCGUGCGGGAUAACGGCCUUCGGGGUGUAAACCGCUUGUGCCUGUGACGAAGCGUGAGUGACGGUAAUGGGUAAAGAAGCAACGGCUAACUACGUG